GUUCACCCUUCGUCCAUAGAGAAGUUUUAGUCACAGUCUUGUUGUUGGUGGCACUGUCCGGCCCAAAUUGACAGGGUUGGUCGGGCUGACAGUAUACGUAAAAAAUGGAAAAGGGAAGAGAUAUUUGUUUUAAUUUUAAUCAGAUAUGUCGGUUCUGUUUAUCACAAGGAGGUGUAAUGUCUGCAAUAUUUGCAGAUUCUGGCCAGGGGAUUAACUCUCUACCAUCUAAAAUCAUGUCUUGUGUAUCAAUUCAGAUAUAUGCAGGAGAUGGCCUCCCUGCAUUGAUAUGCCAUCGAUGUUUGUAUCAAGUAGAGAGAUCCUUUGAAUUCAAGGAACAGUGUGAACAUUCAGAUGCCACAUUGCGACAGUACCUGAAGAGACAGCACAUUGGUGACACUUGUCAGGUAGUAACAAUAAAGCAGGAGACUGUUCAAGAAGACUCAAGUCAGGAUGCGGAAAACAGCAUGUUGCAUUUUGUAUCAGAUUGCGGUACUGCCAGAGGUGAUAACAUGGGUGCAAAACAAAAUGAAAUGCUGUAUAAAGCGGGUCCUCAGCUAUUAGACAUUGAGCCAUCCAGUCUGCAAGGAGAUAAGCCCUCGGCAGGAGAGUGGACAUACAGUCUUGAUGUGACGUCAAAUAAUUUCCUGUUUGAAAAGAGAGAGGAUGUGUUUCAUGCAGGGAGUCUUAUAUUUAAGCCUGAAGAUAUUGACACAGUAGUUGUUGUGGAUCCACACUCCAUGGCUAUGGAUUCCAUGUCUGAUGACAACUGUUCUGAGGAGGGUGUGAGCAAAGAAUGCCUGGGUGUUCGUAUAAAAACUUGUCGUUCAAAGAUUGUUAAUCAAAAUGUGAAUCUAAAACAUGGCAAGAAGUUGUCAGUUGUUGCCAAGGUGGGUAGUGAGAGGAGACCCUUUUCAUGUCCAGAUUGUGGGAAGACAUUUGCUCAACGUGCCCAUCUGGCGCGUCAUGAACUGGUGCAUACUGGUGAGCGUCCAUUUGGGUGUAGCAUAUGUGGCAAGGCAUUUGCUGACAGCUCAACAUUGACAACACACAUGCGCAUUCAUACAGGUGAACGUCCAUUCAUGUGUGAUGCAUGUGGUAAAGCAUUUGCUGGGCGUUCAGAUCUUCGGAAACACGCCAUAAUUCACACUGGCCGACGCCCAUAUGUAUGCAGUGUGUGUUCGAAAGCUUUUACACGCAGUACCAACUUGAAGAAACAUGCGCGGAUCCAUAGUGGUAUGCGACCCCAUGCCUGCAGGGAGUGCUCAAAGACUUUUGCAGCAAAGGGCGACUUGACCCGCCAUGCACUGAUUCACUCUGGCUGCAAACCGUUUGUCUGCACUGUUUGUAAUGUUGCUUUUGCUCGGAGGGACAAGUUGACACGGCAUGAGAAGACCCAUGGCCGGGACCAGCUGUCCUGUGUAUGACAGGCUUAGUUAAAUAUAUGUUCAUUUCUCAUGAGGGAAGGAUUUGUUGUAUCCAUUCAAGAGUAUUACUUUUUUUGUAGAAGUAUACUAAUUUUUUUUUUGUCUAAUCUUGGGAUUCCAGUUGGACUGGAAGCUGAUUUUAAAUGAUGCUAGACAGGAAAGUGACUAUAGGCUUUUCAUCUGAAAAUUAUUCCUUUAAAAUAUUCUUAAUGCACAGAUUUGUAUCUGUUUAUUUCAUUUCCAAUGAUUUGUUUGUGUGCACUUCAAGAAGGUAACAGAACACCUGUGUUGUAUUUGCAUGCCUGAAGGUUAGUAACAUCUGUACUGCAUGGUAUAAAAAAGUGUAAGUUAGUGGAUGGUGCUAUGAAGAUUAAGUGUGAUAUUUCUGGAAAUGCUCAAAAUUUGAUUUAUAUUUUUAAAAUAUAACAUUUCUGAAUUUUAAGGACCUGAAGUUACACAGAACUGUGAUUGUGUUUGGGGUAUUUUAUGUAUGGUGCAGCUAGAUGUGUCAUUCACUGUAGUCAUAUUAGCUACAUUCAGUUUUGUAAGUACAAGUCUGUCUUUUUUUAAGGUUGUUUCAAGUCACGAGAAACUUCUAUUUUUGUAAAGUAAAUUAAAAGCAUAACUUUGCAAAAAAACUAUUAUAUUGUAACUGAUACACAUAAAGGAAAGAAUAUAAUCUUUUUUAUAGUGACACAACUAGCUUCAUGAUUAAUUGUUGUCAAAUUUUGUGUGUACAAUUUUGCUCUUGUCUUAUUUUCUUUUAGUCUGUCUCAAAGCACUUGAAACACACAUGUCCAUGAGCUAACAUGAAAUAUAGUUUUGCAUAGAAGCUAUUAAAAUUUGUUCAUAUAUACAUAGAUAUUUGAAUAUAAUCUUGUUUAUUGUGAUAUUGCAAUUUCAGUAGGUAAUCUGUUACUAUGUGUUCAUUUCAUAAGAUAAUUUAAAAAUCAUUUUUCUUGGUGUAAUAACUGUGAUGUUCAAUUGUACAUUAAAUCUUUAAAUGAAGUAUGAGCAUAGAUUACGUAUAUUUAUAAUACUGAAUAUGUGAUAAUUUUAAAUGUUGGCAGGUAGUAUGAUCUCCAACAUCAUUACUUGGGAGGGUUGGGAAUUCUGUGCUCUUAUGGUAUACAGAUGUGAUAACAUAGACUGAAGAAAUCUCAUGUAAAACAAGAAGAGGAUGCUCAACAUAAUCAGAGUUCCCAGGAAAAAACAGCCAAUGUUGAGUCUGUAGUGGUGAAUGUAGACCCAUAUCAGAUGGAUGUCAAGGAACAGACUGAUGCACAGGAC